AGGGCACCACCAGGAGUGGAGCCUGCGGCUUAAUUUGACUCAACACGGGGAAACUCACCCGGCCCGGACACCGGAAGGAUUGACAGAUUGAUAGCUCUUUCUUGAUUCGGUGGAUGGUGGUGCAUGGCCGUUCUUAGUUGGUGGAGCGAUCUGUCCGGUUAAUUCCGAUAACGAACGAGACUCUAGCCUAUUAAAUAGACGUCGGGUUCUCUGCACUCGACGGUCUUCUUAGAGGGACAAGGUGCUUUUAGCACCGCGAAACAGAGCAAUAACAGGUCUGUGAUGCCCUUAGAUGUCCGGGGCCGCACGCGCGCUACACUGAAGGAAGCAGCGUGUAACAACCUUGUUCUAACGAACUGGGUAACCCGUGGAACUUCCUUCAUGAUUGGGAUAGGGGUUUGCAAUUGUGCCCCUUGAACGAGGAAUUCCCAGUAAACACUAGUCAUCAGCUAGUGCUGAUUACGUCCCUGCCCUUUGUACACACCGCCCGUCGCUACUACCGAUUGAAUGGUUUAGUGA
rnacentral:rRNA from 1 species